CUAGCUCAGGUAGCUUAAAUCUAAAGCACUG
rnacentral:tRNA from 1 species